UACAGAGGUCAAGCGUUGUUCGGAUUCACUGGGCGUAAAGGGUGCGUAGGUGGCCAGGUAAGUUCGGUGUGAAAGCUCGGAGCUUAACUCCGAAAUGUCAUUGAAUACUAUCUGGCUGGAGGGUCGGAGGGGAGACUGGAAUUCUCGGUGUAGCAGUGAAAUGCGUAGAUAUCGAGAGGAACACCAGUGGCGAAGGCGAGUCUCUGGACGACUCCUGACACUGAGGCACGAAAGCUAGGGGAGCAAACAGG
rnacentral:rRNA from 1 species